rnacentral:rRNA from 1 species
UACGAAGGGGGCUAGCGUUGUUCGGAAUCACUGGGCGUAAAGGGCGCGUAGGCGGCGCGACAAGUCAGGCGUGAAAGCCCCGGGCUCAACCCGGGAAUUGCGCUUGAUACUGUCGUGCUUGAGGCCGGGAGAGGAUGGCGGAAUUCCCAGUGUAGAGGUGAAAUUCGUAGAUAUUGGGAAGAACACCGGUGGCGAAGGCGGCCAUCUGGACCGGUUCUGACGCUGAGGCGCGAAAGCGUGGGGAGCAAACAGGAUUAGAUACCCUGGUAGUCCACGCCGUAAACGAUGAGUGCUAGACGUCGGGGGGUUCACCCUCCGGUGUCGCAGCUAACGCUUUAAGCACUCCGCCUGGGGAGUACGGUCGCAAGAUUAAA